rnacentral:lncRNA from 1 species
CUCGUUAAAGUAUCGAGCCAAAAAAUUUAGCUUGUGUUCUGCUCGUUAAUAAACAAGCUGAACACGAGCUGGCUCACGAGCUGGCCAACGAACAAUAAGCUAAAAGGAUUAGAUUGAAUAUAUAUAAAAAAUAAAUUUAUAAAAUCUUAUCCAUUAGAUUUUGAUCUAAUAGUUAAAACUUUGCAUAUAAAUGAGUUUUUUUUAUAAUUAAGCUCGCAUUUAUAUUUUUAUUUUUGCUAAAAAUUAAAUAAUAAAAAUAUAUAUUAUAUAUAUAAUUAAUUAUUUAUAUAUAUAUAAAUAUAAAUUAAAUAAAUUAUAUAAAUAUAAAAUAUAUGUAUUCGAGCUGUUAUCCCCAGCUCGUGUUCGGCUCGUUUGAUAAACGAGUCGAAAAAUUUGGCUCGUAUUUGGUUCGUUUAUUAAACGAGCGAUUCGAUCUCGAGCUCAUUUUGAGCCGAACACGAGUUAGCUCGCGAACAGCGAACUGAAUUGCCACCCCUAGAUUCGAUGACCGAUCG